ACUCUCCUGGAUUUUUUUUUUUUAAUUCUCAGUUUCUUUUUUAACUUGCGCUUAAAAAACUUUGCUCCACCCCCAACCCCCCAAAAGGUAAUGAGAUGUGAGACUAAGGACAGCCAAGGGGCUUUCUCUGGGCACCCAGAAUUCAGUCACACGGGCCUUCCCAGGCCGCUUGCCCUGAGACACAUUUACACAACCUAAUUCAAAGAAAUACCUAAGGUUGUUCCCUGAAUACCUGUCUCCAGACCCAGGAACUGAGCAGGUUUAAUUGCCCCAUGUUCUAUAGCUCAUAGAAAUGUAUUGUUUGACAAGUAAGCCUUUCAAUGUAAAAAAGCAAACGCUGCUUCACAAAGAGAUUUAGCACAUGCAGCUAUGUCUUUUGCAGGAAGAAGCAAAAAUGCGGUCUCUGUAGCAUAUGAAUAAGAGAGAGAGAGCUGGCUUUCGGUUUCUUCUUCAGGCUUGCAAGUUCUACACUGUGAAUCCGCCUGACUAGGCUACCUUUCCAGGGCCACCCUUCUGGUGUUCAUUCUGCAGCUCGCGUGUCUCGGGAAUGUGGAGAGCAGUUGUCUCUUGUGGGCCUGUGUCUCCAUCCAUUGCAACACUUCACCAGCCCCCUCGGCCUAUCUUUGCAUAACAGGAAGCCAAGCAUAAAAACAAGAAGCAUGCAGAAUUGUGAGUGCUUCCGACUAAACACUGCUCGGAACUGCCUCUUCCUCAGCACACGGUGUAGUGGAGAUUUGGCAAUCGGGGGGCACACACACCCCGAGGUCCACACUGUGGCCCCUUAACUGUAUCCAAGCUAACUGGCUUCCCAGAUAUGGAUGGAAGGAAGGACUUUGCAUCAUUGACACAGUAAGCUCCAGAACUAUUGACCCUUCCACGGUCAAAGCCAGUCAUUUGCUCCAGGCUACGCUUCACGGUACUUGAGAGAGGCUUCGCAGGAGGCAGAGUUUCCCCUGUGACUCUGCCGCUGACAUCCUGCAGUGCUGUUUCCUCUUCAAAGCUGUCAAACUUUAUCAGCUGUCUGAAAAAAAUGCUCUAGGGGUUUCCCCUAUUAUCGGCCAAGGUCCUCAGAAAAAUGUUAGGAUUUCUUCUGAAAGCAUCUGUCUGAAGUGUGGGCUUCUUCGACAGGCAGACACAGACCUUCGCCCUGAUCCUUCUCUGUGUGGCUGGCCACCCCUUGACAGUCCUCCCAGCCUCUGCACCACAUCACUUGGUGCCCAUAGAAGAUCUAGAAGAACAUCAUUCUUCUUUCUUUUUCCUUUAUCCAUUUGUUUGCUUUUAGCCGAUGGCCACUGAAAGACAAACCAAGCCUUGAAGUCGUAGGUGCAGAACCUGAAGAAGCAGGAAGCCCAGAUGGACAAACAGGAAGCAGAAGAUGGGGAACCACGCAUGGGUGACUCGGUGAUUGAUACCAUGACAGGCAGGAUUUGCCCCCACUUCCAAGUCCCACUGGUCUGGCGCAUCUUAUAGCAUAAAAGACCUUUUCAAGGUGAAAAAUCACUUAUGUUUUCAUGAGGUUUUGUUGAAAGGGAAUCAUUUCACUCAACUCAGUGUAUGCACUAAAUGGAGAUACAAUAACCGACAUGUUUUAUAAUGAACUUGCAUGGGGUACAAUCAGGAAAGAAGUAGUAAACCUCUUAAUGUGGAAUUUAAAACAUGGAAGAAAGGAUUUCUUCGUGUGCUCAAUAACGGAUCAUACAUUUUUCUCCUUCAACUCCUUAUCUCCGCCCUUCCCCUCUCUCCUUCACUUUUCUGGCAUUUCCUUAAUUGUAUCAACUGUGAAAUGUGAGGGCUUCAAAUCCAACCUAAGAGAAGUGGAAGGAAGCUGUACUCAGACUUAAAAAUAGCCCCAGAAAACAUCUGUUCCUUUGAAUAUAUUGAAAGAUAUUUCAAAAUACAAAUAGACAAACAUAGCUAAUAAAUUCACUUGAACGUUAAAUCCCAUUGAUAUACAGUGUGAGUUUUGUUAUACGAGGGAUGGAUGUAUAUUGGGGGAUGAAUUUCCA